UGCGUAGGCGGAUUAAUUAGUCAGUGGUGAAAGCCUGCAGCUUAACUGUAGAAUUGCCAUUGAAACUGUUAGUCUUGAGUUCAGUUGAGGUGGGCGGAAUGUGUCAUGUAGCGGUGAAAUGCUUAGAUAUGACACAGAACACCGAUUGCGAAGGCAGCUCGCUAAACUGACACUGACGCUGAGGCACGAAAGCGUGGGGAGCGAACAGGAUUAGAUACCCUGGUAGUCC
rnacentral:rRNA from 1 species